UUGCAGAUUCCGUGUACAGGAGAUAAGUACCAGAGGGACUUAUUACACAGCACGAAUUACUUCUCUUGAGUUGACUAAAGCUGGUUCAGUAUAUCACUAAAUCUGGUUGGAUAUGUAAGGAAACUGUGACCAACUUGAAGCAAACACAACCUCAAGUGGCAGAAUCAGCAGUGUGGUUGGAGGCCACUGGUGGUUUGAGGAAAGGGG